UCCCAAUGAUGAAGAAUUCCCAUCAAAGAUAGGAAGUGCCGUCUGACACUAUAAACAGCAGAAUUG
rfam:Spinacia oleracea cultivar SynViroflay scaffold6846.con0003.1, whole genome shotgun sequence.